rnacentral:rRNA from 1 species
AUUGAACGCUGGCGGCAUGCCUUACACAUGCAAGUCGAACGGCAGCACGGGAGCAAUCCUGGUGGCGAGUGGCGAACGGGUGAGUAAUAUAUCGGAACGUGCCCAGUCGUGGGGAUAACGUAGCGAAAGCUACGCUAAUACCGCAUACGAUCUACGGAUGUAAGCGGGGGAUCGCAAGACCUCGCGCGAUUGGAGCGGCCGAUAUCAGAUUAGGUAGUUGGUGAGGUAAAGGCUCACCAAGCCGACGAUCUGUAGCUGGUCUGAGAGGACGACCAGCCACACUGGGACUGAGACACGGCCCAGACUCCUACGGGAGGCAGCAGUGGGGAAUUUUGGACAAUGGGCGCAAGCCUGAUCCAGCAAUGCCGCGUGCAGGAUGAAGGCCUUCGGUUGUAACU